CUUAGAGAGCGGAUGAUAGAACUAGAGCAUUAACGUCCGUUGUUAUCGCUAGUCCCCGGGACUUAGACUUCUUUCUUUGAGAUGUAGCUUGCCAAAGCUUCUUGACUUCUUGCCUAAGUCUAUGCUAACUCUCCUUUUAGCUCUUAAGGGGUUUUGCUUAGCUUCCUUCUAAUUGGCUUUAGCAGAUGAGCGGGAUGAGCUACUAGGGAAGAGAGUUACUUACUCAGCAGUACGGAAAGAGAAUCGAAGUGCUUAGAGGCAACCAUUAGAGGGAUGACAAGCUUUAUCAUCACUCGAUGCGCACACAAAUGGGUCUUUAAUCUUCCAGGUCAACCGUAAAAUAAUACAAUGUUCUUCCAUAACCUUAGCUUGCCUUAUUAGUUAGUAUAGUAGUUAAGGUCAGUAGAGCGGGAAGAAAUUAACCAAGCAAAGGAUACUGAAACCCAUGAAGCAAACAACGGCUACCAGAAGAGUGUCAUCCGUUUUCCUACAGGACAGUUGCGAGAAAGCAAUUCUCGAUAGAGGAGAGUACGACAGAAGACAGGGCCAGACGAGAUAUUGAAAGGCUUGAAUGGACAGGUAAGGGGCGAGACGGAUUUCACCUACCAGGCACAGGACUUAUUGGCUUAAGAAGCAAGCCAAAGCUUUAGAAGAGUCGCCCGGUCAUCCUUUGUUGCUUGCUUUGGGCUCAUCUCGGUGCUUGGUCUCUUCGAUAUGCUAUGAAAGAUCUCUCCUCCUGGUAGACGGAGGAGUUAGAGGCUGGCAGUUAACCAUUCGCUAUGUGGAAUUCCUUUUCUAAAAGUAUGAUUCCCUCGGAAAGGGUAUUAACUCUUGCAACAGUCGUAAUCGGUCUUUCCUGUAUUCAGGACUCGGGCUAUAUGCCCUCUUUUUGAUAGUGAAAAGCUUUUGGGCUUUAUUAUUCGGCGGUAGCUCGUCGGAGGAAUGCCACUACGAAGCUUCUUCCCGGGCAAACUUUCUAGCCGUAACCAGAAUACUCCCUCCCGGGCAAGUGGAUCAAAAGAGAAAAGAGGAAUACGACUGGCUGGAAUGCACCCACCAGUUUUCCAAUGAUGG
rnacentral:lncRNA from 1 species